AGAUGACGCUAAUGUGGACGGUCAGCGGCCGGAAGACGCAGUUUGUGUCAAAUGUGGGAAAACUAUAUCAUCAGCGGCAGAAUCCGUGGGAAAAGGUUUUUGUGGUUUCAUGCGUUGCUGGAUUGGGGAUGCAAAUAAACAUCUGCAUUGUCCAUCCCAUAGGUUUAAUUGUACCUAGUGGAUAUUAGAAAGGAUCCGACUUUGGUACAAAAAUAUUCCAGUUUUUUAUGAAUAAAUACAAUAUAAUGUUCUAUUUGAAUUGUG